rnacentral:rRNA from 1 species
ACUCCUACGGGAGGCAGCAGUGGGGAAUAUUGGACAAUGGGGGCAACCCUGAUCCAGCAAUGCCGCGUGAGUGAUGAAGGCCCUAGGGUUGUAAAGUCCUUUCGACGGGGAAGAUAAUGACGGUACCCGUAGAAUAAGCCCCGGCUAACUUCGUGCCAGCAGCCGCGGUAAUACGAAGGGGGCUAGCGUUGCUCGGAAUCACUGGGCGUAAAGCGCACGUAGGUGGGUCGUUAAGUCGGGGGUGAAAUCCUGGAGCUCAACUCCAGAACUGCCUUCGAUACUGGCGAUCUUCGAGUCCGGGAGAGGUGAGUGGAACUGCGAGUGUAGAGGUGAAAUUCGUAGAUAUUCGCAAGAACACCAGUGGCGAAGGCGGCUAUCUGGACUGGCAUUGACGCUGAGGCGCGAAAGCGUGGGGAGCAAACAGGAUUAGAUACCCUGGUAGUCCACGCCGUAAACGAUGAGUGCUAGACGCUGGUAGGUUUACCUAUCGGUGCCGCAGCUAACGCGUUAAGCAUCCCGCCUGGGGAGUACAGUCGCAAGGCUGAAACUUAAAGGAAUUGACG